ensembl:snRNA U5 U5 spliceosomal RNA
AUACUCUAGUUUCCCUUCAAAUCGUACAAAUCUUUCGCCUUUUACUAAAGAUUUCCGUGGAGAGAAACAGUUAUGAGCCUUUAAAAAAUUUUUUGAGGCCUCGUGUUUCGCGAGGCU